rnacentral:misc_RNA from 1 species
AACUGUCGAACUGAGGUCCUUUUUGUUUAGAAAAGCGGCCUCUGUUUGGUUAUUGGGCUCUGCCGUGUCCUGCAAUAGGAGGGAUGGCUGGCCUUAAAAGCAUUAGCUGACCUUGAUAUAACACUGGACAAUCUACUCGGCGUAUUAAUGAUACAUAGACCGCAGAGGACAUUGUUAUGUUAGGUUGCUUUCUAAUCUGGUAUUGGUGAUUCUCAGGAAUUCCAUUAAUCCAUCUCUAA